GAGUAAGGAGUUUCAGGGUGUCUCUACUCAGAGUGCAGCGGUCUCUUGUUGGUGCUGGAUGUAAUCAGUCUUCGCAGGCAGGAGGAAGGUUGGCUGUGGAGUCGGUCUGUGAAAAUACACUGCAACAAUGAUCAUCAGACUCGGAAGACUGACUCCAGGAUACUUCCGCCUUUUGCAGCGGCAGGUCUCUGGUGAAGUGCGGAUGCAGCCGCAGACCGGCCCUGUCAAUCACAUCGCUAUGACGAUGGCCACACUGGGAUUAGGGAUGUCCUGCUACAGCGCCCGGCAGAUGGCUGAGCGGGUCCACCUGAAGGAGGCUUCAGCUUGAGACGCCGCCCCCUAUAGGCCACGAGAGGACACCUCACUACACACCACACCAU